AGUUUGAUCCUGKCUCAGAGCGAACGCUGGCGGCAGGCUUAACACAUGCAAGUCGAGCGGGCACUUUCGGGUGUCAGCGGCGGACGGGUGAGUAACGCGUGGGAACGUGCCCUCUGGUUCGGAAUAACUCAGGGAAACUUGAGCUWAUACCGGAUACGCCCUUUUGGGGAAAGGCUUGCUGCCGGAGGAUCGGCCCGCGUCUGAUUAGCUAGUUGGUGAGGUAACGGCUCACCAAGGCGACGAUCAGUAGCUGGUCUGAGAGGAUGAUCAGCCACACUGGGACUGAGACACGGCCCAGACUCUACGGGAGGCAGCAGUGGGGAAUAUUGGACAAUGGGCGCAAGCUGAUCCAGCCAUGCCGCGUGAGUGAUGAAGGCCUUAGGGUUGUAAAGCUCUUUUGUCCGGGACGAUAAUGACGUACCGGAAGAAUAAGCCCCGGCUAACUUCGUGCCAGCAGCCGCGGUAAUACGAAGGGGGCUAGCGUUGCUCGGAAUCACUGGGCGUAAAGGGCGCGUAGGCGGCCAUUCAAGUCGGGGGUGAAAGCCUGUGGCUCAACCACAGAAUUGCCUUCGAUACUGUUUGGCUUGAGUUUGGUAGAGGUUGGUGGAACUGHAAGUGUAGAGGUGAAAUUCGUAGAUAUUCGCAAGAACACCAGUGGCGAAGGCGGCCAACUGGACCAAUACUGACGCUGAGGCGCGAAAGCGUGGDGAGCAAACAGGAUUAGAUACCCUGGUAGUC
rnacentral:rRNA from 1 species